rnacentral:lncRNA from 1 species
GACUGUUUGUAUGCUGCUUUAUUAACUCAAUUAUGUAAAAAAUUACAUUGUUUGCAAACUGAUAUGUGACACAUAUUAAUGCUGAAACAACAUGCAAAACAGGCAACCAUUUUUUAUAAAAAAGAUUUGCUACACAGGUGGGGCUCAAAACAGGUGGGGCUCAACCCCACCUGCCCUGGAAGACGGGUCUGCUUCCUAUAGAAUAAAAACCUGAAGUUCAAUUUGUUUCCAUCGCAUUUUCUACUCUACCGAUAGUUGUCACAAACUGUUGCAUGUAAAAAAAAAAACGUGUUUCCUGAUCUCUCAGAUAUAGAACAGACACUUCGGAACAAACUUCCUUUAGAUUUUUUUUUUGGGGGGGGACUAUCUGUUGUUCCAUGUAGUGAAUCUGUUAUUCAAUACGUUUGUAUGGGCUAAUACACAAAAAAUGAUUUGUUUCAACUUAUUAUUUCCAGUGAUCUAGUUGCGUAGCCCUUUUCAAGCUCAGUUUACUUUACAUUUCACGUUAUCCUAGCUUUUAAUACAUUUAUUUUGACUAACAAUAGACGGUUAAUUUGACAUUUGUUAAUUCUUAAUUUAAUAUUAUUUGAAUCAACUUAAACCUUUGUUAUGUUAACAAUAAAUGUGGAGUUCUAAUAACUAAAGCUACAUUAUUGUUGACAAAUAAAAGACAGUUAAGUCCACUGCUUCAUUUUUCAGUGUAACUUACUAUUCUCAUUUGAAUCAACUUAAACAUUUAUUAACUCAACAUUUAUUGUUGACGAAUAAAAAACAUUUAAGUCCACAUCAUGUCAGUAUAACCGACCAUUUUUAGUUGAAUUAAUUUCACAUUUUUGUUAAGUCAACUUUCAAUUAAGUUAUUGUAACUAGUAAUACAGCUUUCAUAACAAAAUGGUCUAAGCAAGGAUAACGUGACAUGUUAAGUGCUCUGAGCUUGAAAAAGGCCACGCAACUAGAUGACUGGAAAUAACAAGUUGAAACAACCUUACAGCUAGAGUUAUCUGAACUAAAGUCAGUUACUUCAAUUUAGAAAAGAGUUAACCAUUUGCCAUUAUAACUUACUAUUCUGAGUUGAAUCUUUUUCCAAUUUUGUUGUCAACUUUUAUUAAAGUUAUCAUAACUAGUAACACAGUUAUGAUAACUACAUUUAAAGUCUACAUAACAAAAUUGUCUAAGCUAGGAUAAGGUGACAUGUAACGUACUCUGAGCUUGAACAAGGCCAUGUAACUAGAUAACUGGAAAUAAUAAGUUGAAACAACAUUAAAGUGUGAGUUAUCUGAUCUAAAGACACAUUUAAAAGAGUUAACUUAAGUCAAGCCUAUUUCAUAUUGAGUUAUUGUAACACAGAGUGCUCAACCUGUUUGGCUGGUGGUGCUACACUGUGGCUACGAGCAAGUCAAGCAGCCCACACAAAUAAAUAACUAUACUAUUAAUGACAUAACAUACAAGCUUGCCACAGGCUGCAAGUUGAGAACCACUAUUCAAACGCAACAAAAUGACUGACUAAUUAAACAUGUCGACAUAAUAUAACCCAGUUCAACGAUGUUCAGACUUAGUAAAGCUUAUCUCCAUUUCAAAAUGACUUUAUAUUUACAAUAAUUGAUUUACCAUCAAGAGUACAUUGAAAUCAGUUAAUUCCAUCUAGCUUGUAAUGACAACAAAAUAGUCCUAUCGUGUAUUUCAGAACAUUUAUUAAUCUAUGUAUUAACAAACAAAUACAUUUGCAACAAUGUAUUGUUCCCUAGAAUGCAUUUUGAUUGUCAUCAGUAUUUUUUUUUAACAAUGUAUAUUUUUAGAUGCAUGUCUUCAGGUACAUUUAAACGAGUAGCCAAAUUCUGCAGUCACUAAUUGGUCUUUUAAUCAAUAUCAGCUAAGAAUUUUGUUUUCAAAUGAGAAAUAUUUUGUCAAAAAAAUAAAUAAAUGAUUCUACUGUCCAAUAAACCCAUACACAUUUGUAAAUGGUACCACUGAAACACGGUUUUAUGGAACGGUAAAAAAAAAAAAUCCAACUGAGCAAAGACAACCUUCAGAAUGGUUUCUAAGCCAAGUUGGUGUUGAGUGUGAAAAAUUAUAACAUGCUGUAAACAUUUUCAGAAUGCACUGUAGUUAAUGGGAAGAGAUGAUAGCAAAUCAAUGGUCUCUAACAAAAGACAGUUGUAGUUUGUAGACUGAAGGUCACACGUAAAAAUAGGAUAACUUAAGUCUUCCCAAAACUGAGAUUUGUAAGAUUUAGGCAAAUAACAGCAUCGUUGUCCGAGGAAUUAACUCAACUAUUGCCAGUAAAACAAAAACACACCAAUUAGAUGUCUUAACAAAGAAGACGGUUCUUCAGCCCAUGUACUUUUGCUGUACAGUUUUCUGCACCAAUCUUCAACAAUAUUUUCUGAACUACCUCAAAAGUAUUCCUCAAACAUUUUGGGUAAUCCAUGUUCAGAUAAUUAAGAAGCCCAAUCAAAGUGGCAAAGGCAUUUGGAACAUUGUGAAGCUCAUGUAUGAUCACCUGCUCUUCUAUCACAAGGGCAACGUCCACAUUGUCAGCUGGCAUUGGGUCAUCUGCUGCAGCUCCAUCCACAACGACAAGGAAGGCCAACGUCCACACUGUCAACUGGCAUUGGGUCAUCUGCUGCAGCUCCUUCCACAACGACAAGUAUACCGAUUUUCACUCAGUGGGGUUGUAUACCUCACGUCUUCAAAAAAUUGGUAGGGUCUUCUCGCAGGAAGUCUGGCAAGCCUCGGAGCACAGCACACUCUACCUUUGAUUGGAACUCUAACAACAAAUGCACAAUUGACUGUUUUACGACAUUGUUAAUGUGGUUGUCAACGAUAAGGUCUCAUCCCCAAUAUUGAUGUGUAUUUAAAAAAGUAGCAAUUAUCAAUACACCAUAACGUAGGUAAUAACUGUACAGAAGACUUUAAUGUCAAUAUUAUGGAACAUACGUCUUUGUCAAGACUGUCCAUAAGGUGUUUUAGCUCCAUCCCUCCACCACUCUUGGCCCGGGAGAAUUCAAGGAGCUUAGAAAGAUGACUGUCCAGGCCUUCAUAAAAUGUCUUCUUGAGGUCCACAGACACCAGUCUCAUGAACUCCAGAGCAACCUGUUUGAAAAGCAUAACAUACCAGGGAAGGAAUUUUAGGGAUAAGGGGGUGCCUAAUCUGCCAGUGCACCAAAACAAAUCAUCCAGGGCACAAAGGCCAUCAAGCAAAAUAGACAUUGCAUUGCUACAAAACAAC